rnacentral:rRNA from 1 species
UACGUAGGGUGCAAGCGUUAAUCGGAAUUACUGGGCGUAAAGCGUGCGCAGGCGGUUAUGUAAGACAGAUGUGAAAUGCCCGGGCUUAACCUGGGAACUGCAUUUGUGACUGCAUGGCUAGAGUUUGGCAGAGGGGGGUAGAAUUCCACGUGUAGCAGUGAAAUGCGUAGAUAUGCGGAGGAACACCGAUGGCGAAGGCAAUCCCCUGGGCCUGUACUGACGCUCAUGCACGAAAGCGUGGGGAGCAAACAGG